rnacentral:rRNA from 1 species
UACAGAGGGUGCGAGCGUUAAUCGGAAUUACUGGGCGUAAAGCGUGCGUAGACGGUUAUGUAAGUCGGAUGUGGAAGCCCCGGGCUUAACCUGGGAAUUGCAUUCGAGACUGCAUAGCUAGGAUGCGGAAGAGGGAAGUGGAAUUUCCGGUGUAGCGGUGAAAUGCGUAGAUAUCGGAAGGAACAUCAGUGGCGAAAGCGACUUCCUGGUCCAGCAUCGACGUUCAGGCACGAAAGCGUGGGGAGCAAACAGG